rnacentral:lncRNA from 1 species
ACCCCAUUUAUUUUUGCAUUAAGAUUGGAGGAGUCCUUCUUAAGUACUCUUAAUUUCCUUCUUUAUUCCACACAUUCCUUUGUUUUUUGCGCCAUCAGAUGGUACCUUAGAAUAUGUGGGGCACAGAAGAGAAGGAAGAGUCUUUCUCUAUGAUAGAACUCACAUGCCAAAAUUAAUUGGGACACCACAUAUUUUUGUGC